UCCAGGGUAGCCUAGUGGACAUGGCAUCUGCCUUGUAAGCGGAACACUGUGGGUUCGAUUCCCAUCCCUGGAC
rnacentral:tRNA from 1 species